AGUCUUUCUUCAUGUGACUCGUGGACUUCCCUUUGUCAUCCUAUGCCUGAGAAUAUAUGAAGGAGGCUGGGAAGGCAAAGGGACGUUCAAUUGUCAUCACUGGC
rnacentral:pre_miRNA from 11 species